AAACUUUCAACAACGGAUCUCUUGGUUCUGGCAUCGAUGAAGAACGCAGCGAAAUGCGAUAAGUAAUGUGAAUUGCAGAAUUCAGUGAAUCAUCGAAUCUUUGAACGCACAUUGCGCCCGCCAGUAUUCUGGCGGGCAUGCCUGUCCGAGC
rnacentral:rRNA from 4 species